AUCAAAGUGGUCACAAUAAUGCUAAAGUGGAAAAUUAAGUAUUUCUAAACUUAAUUAGUAGCAUGAGAUCAGUCCUUGGCACAUUUUGGAAGUGUGAGAAGAGAUAUGAUUGGAAUCGAAGUGGCAAAAUAACUCCAAUUGUCGAAGUUACUCUAAUGCUGAAAUUUAGGUCAAUUUGGGCAAAAAUGGUCAAAUUGAUGCCAAAUUGGAAAUUAAUUGCUUCCAAAUUAAUUUGACAACUUGUAGAGGUAUAUUAGUGUAAUUUGGAAGUGCUUGAGUGGACUUGAAGUGAGUUGGAUGGGCAAAAUAAGCUUCAAAGUGCUGUUGCAGCUAGUUGUUUAGCACAGGGACUGAAUUGUAAGCUUCAGGGACUGAAAUGUAAAUCUGAAGGUUGCAAUGCACUUUUGCAAUUUUCAGGGGUUAAACUGCAAUUUCUCAUCCUUAUCACUUAACCCCAGCUGGCUGGAGUAUAGAGACACGUAUGAGAACUUCUCUCUUUCCUCCCUUCAUCUCUUUUCUUUUACUCUCUCUCUAGGCUAAGGAAAGCUUGAGGAAAUUGGGGUUGGCAGCCUUGAGGAUUGCGGUUCAGGUGGAGGAGUUGAUCCGAACUGAGGAAGGGUUGAUGAGACUGAUGCAUUGAGUGAUUUUCUUGCUGGUCCGAGCUAAGAGGAACUUCCUAGCAGGGAAUUCCUGCUGCUGAACAACUGGUACAGCAUCUAAGUAAGCUAAGAGCUUGGGCUUAAUGGAUGCUAUAGAGCAGGGAGUUCAGUAGAGAGAGCUUGGAAUUGGGACUUGAGACUUGGGGCUUUGGGUUAGUUAAUGCUGAAAGAGAUUGGAGGAGUCUCCAAUUAAGGUUGAUUGAAGUUGCUGAAUUGGAAAUCAGCAAAGGUGCUGACUUGGAAAUCAGCAUAGGGAAUUUUGAAACUAAGGUCGACGACGCGCUAAUUACGGUAGAGACCGUUCUAGUUCUAUUUACACUGGGUCGCGAGAGCUAGUUGUCGACGAAUCUUGAGACAUUGAUUUUAGUUGAUUGACGUUACCACAGGUUCCAGUACGAGCGGUGUGGCCGAGGACCAUGGCAAGAGCCCUGCAGCCUAGCUAGUUGACACCAGAGUAUAGUAGUUUACCAUUUUGGAUUUCAUGUGAUACAUUUUGAUGUACAGAAACUUGUAAAUGAAUGUAUUAUAAAGCAUGUAAUAACUAAAUAUUUCAGUUAUGCAGUUCAGUUUGAAAGUUUUAAAUUACA